AAGUCGUAACAAGGUUUCCGUAGGUGAACCUGCGGAAGGAUCGUUAAAAAAUCGUUUGAGCCGCAAGGCUCUAUUAUUUUGUGAACCGUUUGUGGGAGCUGGUGAUGAUGGUUGAUGGAGGCAUGAGAGAGGAGCGGCGCUUGUCGUCGCCUCUGCCUCAAGUUUUUGUCGACGGUCACUACUGGCCCCACUAAUAUAUAAACAUAUGUCUUUGACGUUGAGGAAAUUAUAUCUAUAUAAUAUAUAUACAACUUUCAACAGUGGAUCUCUCGGCUCUU
rnacentral:misc_RNA from 1 species